GCCAGAUACGGUGGUAAACGCCUGCAGUCCCAACUACUUGGCAGGCUGAGACAGGAGGAUUGCUUGAGUCCAGGAGUUUUGGCUGUAGUGCACUAUGCUGAUUGGGUGUCUGCGUUAAGUUUGGCAUCAAUAUGGUGACCUCCCGGGAGCAGGGGGCCACCAGGUUGCCUAAGGAGGGGUGAACCAGUGCAGGUUGGAAACAGAGCAGGUCAAAACUCCCGUGCUGAUCAGUAGUGGGACUGAUAGCCACUGCACUCCAGCCUGGGCAAUGUAAUGAGACCCCAUCUCUA
rfam:Otolemur garnettii contig135083, whole genome shotgun sequence.